rnacentral:rRNA from 1 species
AACGAACGCUGGCGGCAUGCCUAACACAUGCCAGUCGAACGAGACCUUCGGGUCUAGUGGCGCACGGGUGCGUAACGCGUGGGAACCUGCCCUUAGGUUCGGAAUAACUCCCCGAAAGGGGUGCUAAUACCGGAUAAUGUCUUCGGACCAAAGAUUUAUCGCCUUUGGAUGGGCCCGCGUUGGAUUAGCUAGUUGGUAGGGUAAAAGCCUACCAAGGCGACGAUCCAUAGCUGGUCUGAGAGGAUGAUCAGCCACACUGGGACUGAGACACGGCCCAGACUACUACGGGAGGCAGCAGUGGGGAAUAUUGGACAAUGGGUGAAAGCCUGAUCCAGCAAUGCCGCGUGAGUGAUGAAGGCCUUAGGGUUGUAAAGCUCUUUUACCCGGGAUGAUAAUGACAGUACCGGGAGAAUAAGCUCCGGCUAACUCCGUG